GGAAGCUGUCCGGCAUGGACGAGGAAACCGCCUUGAAAGCGGCUGCGGCUAACACCGUCGAGAGUUCGAUUCUCUCAGCUUCCGCC
rnacentral:tRNA from 1 species